UACGUAGGGUGCAAGCGUUUGUCCGGAAUUAUUGGGCGUAAAGAGCUUGUAGGCGGUUUGUCGCGUCUGCUGUGAAAAUCCGGGGCUCAACCCCGGACUUGCAGUGGGUACGGGCAGGCUAGAGUUUGGUAGGGGAGACUGGAAUUCCUGGUGUAGCGGUGAAAUGCGCAGAUAUCAGGAGGAACACCGGUGGCGAAGGCGGGUCUCUGGGCCAAUACUGACGCUGAGGAGCGAAAGCGUGGGGAGCGAACAGG
rnacentral:rRNA from 1 species